rnacentral:rRNA from 1 species
UAGCCGUAAACGAUACUCGCUAGGUGUCGGCCACGGUGCGACCGUUGUCGGUGCCGUAGGGAAGCCGUGAAGCGAGCCACCUGGGAAGUACGGCCGCAAGGCUGAAACUUAAAGGAAUUGGCGGGGGAGCACAACAACGGGUGGAGCUUGCGGUUUAAUUGGAUUCAACGCCGGAAAUCUUACCGGACCGACAGCAACAUGAAGGCCAAGCUGAAGACUUUGCCGGAUUAGCUGAGAGGUGGUGCAUGGCGUAGUCGUGU